ACUUCUCAAACUUUGUUUGAAGCAUCACCACACACUGCCCCUCACUUGUGUCCCAUAUCCCUUGCAAAUUGUUUAUACCUUGACACCAUUUGUAAACCAAAAGCGGGGGUGGCUCUGAAUCUGCAGGCUUAAUCCAAUUAGGAAACAGGUGGCGCUUGUCUCCUUCAUACCAUAGAUAUUGGUCAAGAUAAGCAUCUGUAAUCUUCUCCAGGGGCUCAAUUUCAUAAACUGGAAUCAAAUAGCUGUACAAAUCCAUGAACUCUAUACCAACCUGCAAAGAAAACAUCAAUUUGAGUUCAAAUUCAGAAAUAAGAGAUGGAGAGGUAGUUUGAAGGUGAAGUACGGGUCAAUUUUCAGUCAUAAACUCACUUCUUUGAAGGCACGCUGGGUAAGCAGGUGGCGCUUGAUCCUCGACAAGGCCUCAUGAGGAUUAUCAUAAGCUUGUUCAAUUAGACCCAAUUCUUCUCUUUGGAGUUGGUUUAAUCUCACAGCUACACUGUAAGAUUCCUUCAACCUCUCCAGUGCAAGGAUAAGUAGCUUUGUAU
rnacentral:lncRNA from 1 species